UACGAAGGGGGCUAGCGUUGCUCGGAAUCACUGGGCGUAAAGGUGCGUAGGCGGUCUUUAAGUCAGGGGUGAAAUCCUGGAGCUCAACUCCAGAACUGCCUUUGAUACUGGCGAUCUUGAGUCCGGGAGAGGUGAGUGGAACUCCGAGUGUAGAGGUGAAAUUCGUAGAUAUUCGGAAGAACACCAGUGGCGAAGGCGGCUCACUGGCCCGGUACUGACGCUGAUGUGCGAAAGCGUGGGGAGCAAACAGG
rnacentral:rRNA from 1 species